UACGUAGGGUGCAAGCGUUGUCCGGAAUUAUUGGGCGUAAAGAGCUCGUAGGCGGUCUGUCGCGUCUGCUGUGAAAACUCAGGGCUUAACCCUGAGCUUGCAGUGGGUACGGGCAGACUAGAGUGCGGUAGGGGAGACUGGAAUUCCGUGGUGUAGCGGUGAAAUGCGCAGAUAUCAGGAGGAACACCGGUGGCGAAGGCGGGUCUCUGGGCCGUAACUGACGCUGAGGAGCGAAAGCAUGGGGAGCGAACAGG
rnacentral:rRNA from 1 species